rnacentral:rRNA from 1 species
AACGAACGCUGGCGGCAGGCUUAACACAUGCAAGUCGAACGCAUCCUUCGGGGUGAGUGGCAGACGGGUGAGUAACGCGUGGGAAUCUACCCAUCUCUGCGGAAUAGCUCCGGGAAACUGGAAUUAAUACCGCAUACGCCCUACGGGGGAAAGAUUUAUCGGGGAUGGAUGAGCCCGCGUUGGAUUAGCUAGUUGGAGGGGUAAAGGCCUACCAAGGCGACGAUCGAUAGCUGGUCUGAGAGGAUAAUCAGCCACAUUGGGACUGAGACACGGCCCAAACUCAUACGGGAGGCAACAGUGGGUAAUAUUGGACAUUGGGCGCAAGCCUGAUCCAGCCAUGCCGCGUGAGUGAUGAAGGCCUUAGGGUUGUAAUGCUCUUUCACCGAUGAAGAUAAUGACGGUAGUCGGAGAAGAAGCCCAGGCUAACUUCGUGCCAGCAGCCGCCGUAA